rnacentral:rRNA from 1 species
UACGUAGGGUGCGAGCGUUGUCCGGAAUUAUUGGGCGUAAAGGGCUCGUAGGCGGUUUGUCGCGUCGGGAGUGAAAACUCAGGGCUUAACCCUGAGCCUGCUUCCGAUACGGGCAGACUAGAGGUAUGCAGGGGAGAACGGAAUUCCUGGUGUAGCGGUGAAAUGCGCAGAUAUCAGGAGGAACACCCGUGGCGAAGGCGGUUCUCUGGGACGGUACUGACGCUGAGACGCGAAAGCGUGGGGAGCGAACAGG